GGAACAUGACGAACCCUUUCCUCCUGAAACUGUACUCUAUUAUGAGGUAAUUAAUGUUCUAUUAAGUCGAAUGUUGAGAUCCUAUAGCUACCACAUGAAGGGAAAUUCUUAAGAGCCUGUGUCCGUAAUAUCACAAUAAUUAAGAGCCUUGAAGAACCUUAGCAAUUUUGAUUGGAAAGGUGGGCAUUAAAAAUCCCUAUAAUACUAUUAUAGCAUUAUCAACCCUCAAAUCAUCCCGUAG
rnacentral:lncRNA from 1 species